CAGGUACCAAAACUAUAGAAGUAUUAAGGAUCAGAGUUAAACUAAGACAUGGGCUCUAUCUUCCAGAACCCACACCUUCAUCAGUUAGUUUGCCUCUUCCUGGUCUGGGAGAUUGGUUAACACACCAUGACCAACAUGAUUUCACCAAGGAAGAGGAAUGGGAGGAAGAAACGGGCAUAUACUCUACUCUGACAUCCUGCCUCCUGCUGGAGCCAUCUGGAGAAAUA
rnacentral:lncRNA from 1 species